UACGUAGGGGGCAAGCGUUGUCCGGAAUCAUUGGGCGUAAAGCGCGCGUAGGCGGCCCGGUAAGUCCGUUGUAAAAGUCAAAGGCUCAACCUUUGAAAGCCGAUGGAUACUGCCGGGCUAGAAUCCGGAAGAGGCGAGUGGAAUUCCUGGUGUAGCGGUGAAAUGCGCAGAUAUCAGGAGGAACACCGAUUGCGAAGGCAGCUCGCUGGGACGUUACUGACGCUGAGACGCGAAAGCGUGGGGAGCAAACAGG
rnacentral:rRNA from 1 species